rnacentral:misc_RNA from 1 species
UCUAAGUUACACUGGGUUAUCAUUUUUGAAACGGAAAAAGUAUUUAUUUUUUUUUGGUUGAAAAACAAAAAUUUUAGCAAAAAGACAGCAUGAUUAGCACAUAAUGCAAAACAAAAGCAUGUGAAACUUUUCCUCUUUUUCUGCAAAAGUGCUAAUUUUAUCUCUGCAGAUUCAUUAGUCAUUACUAAACAAACUGUUUAACUUAAUCUUUUUAAUUAAUAAGAACAUCCACGAGGAGCAAACCCUAAUCGAGAACCCGCAAGAUCAAAUACGACCCGAAAACCCUGUUGCUGGAUAUUCCCAAUUAUUGACAACCCGCCAUUUGUACCCGCAAAUCCAAAGCAGUAUCUCCCUUCAGUGUUCACUGGGAUCAUAUAAUUCGCCGCCGGUAAUGCCACGUCAGCUCCGGCGAAGUGUAAAACCAUCGUCGGUACCUUCGCCUGUUUUUUCCCCGACAGAUCAUAACAUGUAUCGAACAAAGAGAAAUUCGGUGCUCUCUUCAAAUCUUUAGCACCCAAUCUGAAAGCAUCCCUCACUGCUAUAUAACCGGGUCGGGUCAACCGGGUUACUGAAGUACCCGAAUCGACUAUAACCCCACCGUUACCUUCAGCAUCAAGCUUAAACAACUCCGGCGUGACUGCCGGUACCUUCGUACCUCCGACGCUAAUUCCGGUGAGCUCCACGUAGUAAAA